UGUUAGUACCUAAACUAAUUCCAGAAGUUCUGUAAUUCCCGUGCUUUCCAUGGAAGUCAUCCUUACGCAGCAUUUCCAAAAGGGACUUUGUGAUCAAAACACUCAACUAGUUAUGAAGACGACAAAUCUGAACAGUUCUAGUUCUCCCCACUCAGGAGCUAGGCUAAUGAAGAACCUAGAGACAAAAAAUAACGCACGUUCGCACUGAACUAUACUUGUUUCCAAAAUACCACUCCUGAGAUUUAAGAAGGACGUCAGGACCUUGGCCAGCUCUGCGAAAGCCCUGUGGGCGGUAAAGCGGGGUCCCUCAAGACCCCAUAGAAGCCGGGGCUUGAGAGACGAGGCAGAGGUCGAACCUCGUGGGCAGAAUGGCUGGCGAACCCCAUGCUAACGCUCGGCGCUGUCCCCCGGAGGGGGUUGCUCACAGAGUGGGUGACCCAGCAGAGAUGCUCUCCAUGGGAUUCCGUGGCCCGGUGGCAUUCCAGUCCUGCGCCUGCUGCAAGGGCUCACAGGACGCCGAGCGGAAGGGGCGGUGCUUGCGGCGGAAGUUGCUGUCUCAGGUGACGCGGGAGGCCCUGCGGCGCGCAGAGCUAGGGUUCAGAAGGCAUGGCACUCUGGCGGGCGUACCAAAGGGCCCUGGCUGCUCACCCGUGGAAAGUCCAGGUCCUGACGGCUGGGUCCCUGAUGGGCCUAGGUGACAUUAUCUCACAGCAGCUGGUGGAGAGGCGGGGUCUGCAGGAACACCAGACAGGCCGAACCCUAACCAUGGUGUCCCUGGGCUGUGGCUUUGUGGCCCCUGUACUAGGAGGCUGGUACAAGGUGUUGGACCGGCUCAUCCCUGGCACCACCAAGGUGGAUGCACUAAAGAAGAUGUUGUUGGAUCAGGGGGGGUUUGCCCCGUGUUUUUUAGGCUGCUUCCUCCCAUUGAUGGGGACACUCAAUGGACUGUCAGCCCAGGAUAAUUGGGCCAAAUUACAGAGGGAUUAUCCUGAUGCCCUCCUCACCAACUACUAUCUCUGGCCUGCUGUGCAGUUAGCCAACUUCUACCUAGUCCCCCUGCAUUACAGAAACUGUUCCAGAGUGUCCCCCACUGACCUUCUAUCAUCUCGCUAUGGAGGAUCCUGCUUCUACAACUCUUGUCUCCAUCCCACCUGAGCUCUCCACCUUUGAUGGCAUAUCUGCAGAGACAGUGCCUCACUGGGGUGCUGCAUCCUAGGUUAGACAGAAAGGUAGACCUAAAGGCUUUGUCAGGUUGGCUGUUGUCCAGUGUGUUGCUGUCAUUUGGAACUCCUACCUGUCGUGGAAAGCACAUCAGUUCUAGCCUGCCUUGCUUCAUCAUUGCCACCUGCAAUGAUUCACCAUGAUCCCGGGAUUGUCAGACAGUCUCCUCAAAAUGGGCAUAUCAAUGUCCAUGGGGGUGGAAGUGCUGGUCAAAACUUGAUGAGAUGAGCACUCUGAAAUGGGACAUUUCAUUUUAAACUGUAAACUGCUUCUGAAAAUCACUAGCCCUUUAUAAUACAUUCAUGCAAGGCUUAUCAACAGUA